GACGAACGCUGGCGGCGUGCCUAAUACAUGCAAGUCGAACGCAGUGGGGACGGGUGAGUAACACGUGGGUAACCUCCCAUCAGAGGGGAUAACACUUGGAAACAGGUGCUAAACCGAUACUGAUGGAUGAACCCGCGGUGCAUUAGCUAGUUGGUGAGGUAACGGCUCACCAAGGCCACGAUGCAUAGCGGACCUGAGAGGGGGUGCGGCCACACGGGGACGGAGACACGGCCAAGACGCCUACGGGAGGCAGCGGUAGGGAAGGUUCGGCAAUGGACGAAAGUCUGACCGAGCAACGCGGCGUGAUGGAAGAAGGUUUGCGGAUCGUAAAGCUCUGUUGUUAGAGAAGCGUUAUGUAACCAGAAAGCCACGGCUAACUCCGUGCCAGCAGCCGCGGUAAUAC
rnacentral:rRNA from 1 species